UGAGCUUUCUUUCUCCCAUGAGACAAAUCAAAUGUCACCUGCUGUGGAACCCUGCUAUGGAACACAUACAGAAUAGAAUAGACCCCACUUUCUGUUCCAAAAGCUGACCACUUGGGUUGAAGAGAAACAUGUCAUUCCAGGGACUGAUAUCAUUUGAGGACGUGGCCGUGGACUUCACCUUGGAGGAGUGGCAGGACCUGGAUGCUGCCCAGAGGACCCUGUACCGGGACGUGAUGCUGGAGACCUACAGCAGCCUGGUGUCCCUGGGGCACUGUAUGAAAAAACCUGAAGUGAUCUUUAAGUUGGAGCAAGGAUGUGGGCCUUGGAGUGUAGCAGAAGCCUCAGACAGGAACCUCUCAGAUAUUCACAUACUGACUGCACCAAUUGUGACCAGCCAGAAAAAUCACAAGGCAUAUAUGCGGCAAGCUGGAACCACCCAAAACAAGUCAUCAAAUGAAAAGACUGCAGAGCUAAAGGAGCAACAGAAGAUCCAUCAAGGGUCAAAAUCCUGUGAAAGAGAAGUACAUGGAAAGACAUUGUUUCAGAAAGCCCAGACCACUGUGAUUCCGAUGUCUCCUACGUGUCAGACAGCUCUCCAUGACAAGACAACGCCCACUAAAGGUCAGAGACCUCACAGAGGGGAGAUGAGCCCUGAGUAUGAAGAAUGCAGAAAAACCAUCUUCCAGAACUCAGACGUUACAGGAUGUCAGAAAAAUCCUAUAGAUAAGAAGCUUCGUGGAUACACAGAAUGUGGAAAAGCCUUCUCUUGCAACUCAGAGCUCACAAGUCAUCCAAGAACUCACAUACGUAAGAGGCCUUAUAAAUGUAAGGAAUGUGGGAAGGCCUUCUGCUCUCAGGGAAAACUUACUUUACAUCAAAUAGUUCACACCGGUGCGAAGCCCUAUGAAUGUACAGAGUGUGGGAAAACUUUCUCCCAUAAGGCGUACCUCACUCAGCAUCAGAAAAUCCACAUGAGCAAGAAGCCUUAUGUGUGUGCUGAAUGUGGGAAAGCUUUCUACCGAUUAUCACACCUUACUUUGCAUCAGAGAACUCACACAAACGAGAAACCUUAUGAUUGUACAGAAUGCCAAAAAUCUUUCUCCUGCCGCUCACAGCUUACUUUACAUCAGCGAACUCACACAGGUGAGAGGCCUUUUGAGUGCAUGGAAUGUAGAAAAUCUUUCUACUACAAGGCACACCUAACUCGACAUCAGAGAGUUCACACCAACGAGAAGCCCUUUGAAUGUAUAGAGUGUGAGAAAUCCUUUUACUGCCAGUCGGACCUCACUGUGCAUCAACGAUCCCACACAGGUGAGAAGCCCUAUGAAUGUAUGGAGUGUGGGAAAUCAUUCUACCAGAAGUCAAAACUUACUCUACAUCAGAGGAAUCAUGUAGGUGAGAAGUCUUACCCAUGCACAGACUGUGGGGAAGUUUUCUAUUGCAAAUCACAUCUCACUCUGCAUCACACAGUACAUACAGAUGAACACCCAUAUGUAUGUACAGUGUGUGGGAAAUGUUUCUACUAUAAGUCACAGCUCAUUGUCCAUGGAAGAACUCACACGGGUGACAGACCCUACAAAUGCGGAGAGUGUGAGAAAGCUUUCUCCCGCAAGCCACACCUCAUUCGACAUCAAAGCAUUGCUCACACAGAUAAGAACAAUUUGAAUGUAGCAAAUGUGGGAAAGGUUUGCACUGUAAGCCGAGACUCACUCUAUGUCCACUCACUUUACCUCAGUGAACACGAACAUGCGCCAAGCAUUUUGAAGGAAAAGAAUGCAGGAUAGUUUUCUACUUCAAGCCACCAAUAACAGCAGAGGGCAACUCAGAUGAAGAACCCUGUGAAUGGGAAGAAAGAGAAAACUUUAUAUGAUGAAGAAGGUUGCCGAGGUUAGGCACGUGGCUGUGGUGUCCCUGUCCCUGCAUGGAAGUCCAGAGAGGCUAUUGUGUGAAAAUGUGAAGGGGAGGCCUGGAGACUCCAAGAGUAUCUGUGGGAUACCUGCCCAGGAAAGCUGCUACCAGAGAGUGCAACCAGCCCCAAAGAAAGAAGUUUGUUGCAGUCAACAGCUGAAAGGAGCCGGAGAGCUGAAGAGCGCUUUGACAUCAGACAUGGAGUUGCAGAAUUUCGAGUUUACCAGCUGUUUUUCAGUCUUGCGUUGGUUCAGCAUUUCCUCACUACGCUCUCUUCCCUAUGUUUUGGAAUGGUAAAGUGUAUCCUGUGCCAUGAUACGUUGGAAGUAUGUGAUCUGCUUUUUUUAUUUUAUCUUAUAGGGGAUUACAAUUAAGAGAUUGCACGAAU